rnacentral:tRNA from 2 species
GGCAAAUUAGUUCAAUAGUUAGAACAUUGGUCUCAUAAGCCAAAGACGUCGGAGCAUAACCGACAUUUGCCAC